CCUACGGGUGGCCGCAGUGAGGAAUAUUUCUCAAUGGUCGAGAGUCUGAACCAGCCAAGUAGCGUGAAGGAUGACUGCCCUAUGGGUUGUAAACUUCUUUUAUAUGGGAAUAAAAUGUUCCACGUGUGGGAUUUUGUAUGUACCAUAUGAAUAAGGCUCGGCGAAUUCUGUGCCAGCAGCCGCGGUAAUCCGGAAGAUCCGAGUGUUAGCCGGAUUUAUUGGGUUUAAAGGGAGCGUAGGUGGAUUUUUAAGUCAGUUGUGAAAGUUUGCGGCUCAACAGUAAAAUUGCAGUUGAAACUGGAAGUCUGGAGUACGGUAGAGGCAAGCGGAAUUCGUGGUGUAGCGGUGAAAUGCUUAGAUAUCACGAAGAACACCGAUUGCGAAGGCAGCUCACUGGACUGCAACUGACACUGAGGCUCGAAAGUGUAGGUAUCAAACAGGAUUAGAUACCCUUGUAGUC
rnacentral:rRNA from 1 species